UACAGAGGUCUCAAGCGUUGUCCGGAAUCAUUGGGCGUAAAGAGCGUGUAGGCGGUUCGGUAAGUCGGCUGUGAAAGUCCAGGGCUCAACCCUGGGAUGCCGGUCGAUACUGCCGGACUAGAGUUCGGAAGAGGCGAGUGGAAUUCCCGGUGUAGCGGUGAAAUGCGCAGAUAGUCGGGAGGAACACCUAUGGCGAAGGCAGCUCGCUGGGACGUUACUGACGCUGAGACGCGAAAGCGUGGGGAGCAAACAGG
rnacentral:rRNA from 1 species